GUGAAGUACACAGUGUUUUUGAAAUUUGCUAAUGAAGGAACUGUGGUGUGAACCAUGACCUGCAAGCUGCAGAACAGUGAGUAAAGAACAGUGAUGUUUGGAGACAGCUGGAGUCCUUAGACCUAAACCAUCCUAUCCUUGUUUGUUCCAUAUAAGCCUACAGACAGACAGCUAGGAUGGCAGUGAAGCUGGAGAUUAGUCUCUUGUUCCUAAUGAACUGAGAACAGUAGGGCUUGUCAAGAUGCUGAAUUACGUAAAGUAGCAAAACCACUCCAUUUUGCGUCAGCCUCCUGGUUAAGUAUAACUCCUGCCUGUCUCCAUCUACUUCAAAAG